GGGGCCGUAGCUCAGUUGGGAGAGCGCUUGAAUGGCAUUCAAGAGGUCAGGGGUUCGACUCCCCUUGGCUCCACCA
rnacentral:tRNA from 1 species